rnacentral:rRNA from 1 species
UACGUAGGGUGCGAGCGUUGUCCGGAAUUAUUGGGCGUAAAGAGCUCGUAGGCGGCCUGUUGCGUCUGCCGUGAAAGCCCGGGGCUUAACCCCGGGUCUGCGGUGGAUACGGGCAGGCUAGAGUUCGGCAGGGGAGACUGGAAUUCCUGGUGUAGCGGUGAAAUGCGCAGAUAUCAGGAGGAACACCGGUGGCGAAGGCGGGUCUCUGGGCCGAUACUGACGCUGAGGAGCGAAAGCGUGGGGAGCGAACAGG